UACGGGGGGGGGCAAGCGUUGUUCGGAAUUACUGGGCGUAAAGGGCUCGUAGGCGGCCAACUAAGUCGGACGUGAAAGCCCUCGGCUUAACCGAGGAACUGCGUCCGAUACUGGAUGGCUUGAGGUUGGGAGAGGGAUGCGGAAUUCCAGGUGUAGCGGUGAAAUGCGUAGAUAUCUGGAGGAACACCGGUGGCGAAGGCGGCAUCCUGGACCGAUACUGACGCUGAGGAGCGAAAGCCAGGGGAGCAAACGGG
rnacentral:rRNA from 1 species